rnacentral:rRNA from 1 species
GACGAACGCUGGCGGCGUGCCUAAUACAUGCAAGUCGAACGCUUCUUUCCUCCCGAGUGCUUGCACUCAAUUGGAAAGAGGAGUGGCGGACGGGUGAGUAACACGUGGGUAACCUACCCAUCAGAGGGGGAUAACUCUUGGAAACAGGUGCUAAUACCGCAUAACAGUUUAUGCCGCAUGGCAUAAGAGUGAAAGGCGCUUUCGGGUGUCGCUGAUGGAUGGACCCGCGGUGCAUUAGCUAGUUGGUGAGGUAACGGCUCACCAAGGCCACGAUGCAUAGCCGACCUGAGAGGGUGAUCGGCCACACUGGGACUGAGACACGGCCCAGACUCCUACGGGAGGCAGCAGUAGGGAAUCUUCGGCAAUGGACGAAAGUCUGACCGAGCAACGCCGCGUGAGUGAAGAAGGUGUUCGGAUCGUAAAACUCUGUUGUUAGAGAAGAACAAGGACGUUAGUAACUGAACGUCCCCUGACGGUAUCUAACCAGAAAGCCACGGCUAACUACGUG